GUCCCAAUAAUAGUGUUCUACCUAUCGUGAGUUUUCCAACAUUACAAAAAAGCAACUUAUUAUCCUAAUGGUGCACAAACAUUAGAACAAUCUAAUUAUACAUAUUAUUGGAAUCACAACGCAAUAAUUAAUAUAAAAACAUAGGUCUCAAAUUAAAACUAAAAAUUAAACAAUUUUGUCAUCAUCCAAUACGUGAAAAGGAAUUAGCCAAACAUGAUGCGAGAAUUAAAUAAAUAACAAUGGAACGACAUCACCGAAAUUUGACGAACGUGAUUAAUUUCCAAAGUAAAUUUCUGUCUUUCUCUUUUUAUUCCAAUGGAUUGCCUCCUUUUUGUAUCUUUUUCUCCCCAAAAAAUUCCUACCAAUGUGUUAUAUUUCAGCCAAAAGCAACCCUCUAAAAACAGCCUCCAAUUCAAUCUCCAAAUUUUGCCUUUGCUAUACGUGUAUGUGUUUUAUGUUUGCUGCCAAAGUGUCUUCCUGUAUGUAUAAUUUUUUAAUGAAACCAGCCGGCAACAACUCUUAUGAAUCUGUAGGCGUAUGUGUAUAUAUCUACUUCCGUGUUUGUGCCGAACAAUCCAUUUAAUGGCAGAAUUUCUCCUCCCAAAAAUACCGACCAGAUUUCCCAGGCUGCUCCCCCUAUUGCCUUGGUUUUCUGUAUGUAUAUGUAUAUAAUUUUGUCUCCCAAAGCUCCUCCAAUUGCCGCUGAAUUACAUGAGAUAUAUAUUCUAUUCAGCCCCCACAAUCUCCUCCAGCAGCCGGCAGCUUCUCUGACUCUCCUGUCGGCAGUUUCUUUAAUUCCCUCGGCUCCCCCUCUUUUUACUCCAGAUUCAGCCCCCCAAUUUUGGUGUGCUCCUGUAUCCCUUCCCUCCAAGUUGGCGUGCAGUCUCUUCCCCAAAAAUCUGCCUAUGUUUGUACAUAAUCUCAAAGUAAGCAGCCGGCAGUUUUCUUUCUCCUUUUCCUCCCUUCCAGCCGUCUCUCUUCUCUA
rnacentral:lncRNA from 1 species